CGCCGAAGGUGGGGCUGAUGACUGGGGUGAAGUCGUAACAAGGUAGCCGUACCGGAAGGUGCGGCUGGAUCACCUCCUAACAGGGAGACAAAACUGAUUAAGAUGUCUGAUUAAAAUAUUAGGCCUUAAUCCUGUCACCUUAGGUCGAUCGGUACCUCAGAUUGAUAGCUACAAAUUAGGAUUAAUUCUUAGUAUUAGUUUUUCAAUUUUAGUUCCUAAACUUGUCUAGGUCACACCCAACAAACUUUCUCCUGGGCUAUUAGCUCAGGCGGUUAGAGCGCACCCCUGAUAAGGGUGAGGUCCCUGGUUCAAGUCCAGGAUGGCCCAUUCGUUGUUGGGGGUAUAGCUCAGUUGGUAGAGCGCCUGCUUUGCAAGCAGGAUGUCAGCGGUUCGAGUCCGCUUACCUCCACUGAUCAACUACCUAAUAACUCAAUUAAUGGAGAUUGUUAUUUGGUCAAUGUGAUUUAGAAAUUGUUCAUCUGAAUGAACCUAGCUUCCUAUCAAUUUUGAUUAUUUUUUAGCUGAUAAGACGCUGGGCUCACUGGUAUUCUAAGGAUUAUCAGUUUAACUCAGUAGAACCUUGACAACUGCAUAGGAAAAACUAGAAAAAUAAAGCAUCUCAUAGAUUCAUAGCAAUAUAUAUUCAAAAUUUUGUAUAUAUGUUUUCUAUGUUCAAUUCUUGAGUUAGAGCAUAAAUUCGUUUAAUAAAAAUGAAUUUAAAUUGGUCAAGCUACAAAGGGCUCACG
rnacentral:misc_RNA from 1 species